CAUCCGUAUUGUGCCUUACUAGUCCGUGCGAUGGUUGUGCCUUACUAGUCCGUGCGAUAACCGGAUCCGCAAUUCUAGUCGAGCCCGAGGAGUUUUCGGUUUCAUCUCGUUGCUUGAGGUGUCCGUUUUGGUUAGAUCGGAAGCGCUGUAGUGCUCCUAGUGGUACAACAUUAGAGCAGCGGUUCAGCUUGUUAUUCAAAAGCAAUCAAGAUGGUGAAGUUCACAGCAGACAUGCUCAGGGGGAUUAUGGACAAGCAGAAUAAUAUAAGGAACAUGUCUGUUAUUGCUCAUGUGGACCAUGUUGCUGGUGACGUUCGCAAGACUGGUACUCCUGCAUAUGAAGCGGAGCGUGCUAUUACAAUAAAAUCCACUGGUAUCACUCUUUUCUAUGAGACGACUGAUGAAUCACUCGGGGCAAGAGAGAUGGGAAAGAGUACUUGAUGAAUCACUCGGGACAUGUUGAUUUCCCUUCGGAAGUCUACUUUGGUCGUGGUUGGCUGAUGAAUUCUAAUAUGAUAGAUGUUGCUUAUGCAUUGUCUGGUCUUUAUUUAUCAAUGACUCAUUAUUGUAGCCACCUUGAGUGAAUCCAAUAAUUAUAAUCUACGAUUUUUAAAACUC